rnacentral:rRNA from 1 species
UACGGAGGGGGCAAGCGUUGUUCGGAAUUACUGGGCGUAAAGGGCGCGUAGGCGGUCAGCACAAGUCAGUUGUGAAAUCUCCGGGCUUAACUCGGAAAGGUCAACUGAUACUGUGCGACUAGAGUGCGGAAGGGGCAACUGGAAUUCUCGGUGUAGCGGUGAAAUGCGUAGAUAUCGAGAGGAACACCUGCGGCGAAGGCGGGUUGCUGGGCCGACACUGACGCUGAUGCGCGAAAGCCAGGGGAGCGAACGGG